rnacentral:rRNA from 2 species
AGAGUUUGAUCCUGGCUCAGGAUGAACGCUAGCUACAGGCUUAACACAUGCAAGUCGAGGGGCAUCAGGAAGAAAGCUUGCUUUCUUUGCUGGCGACCGGCGCACGGGUGAGUAACACGUAUCCAACCUGCCCUUUACUCGGGGAUAGCCUUUCGAAAGAAAGAUUAAUACCCGAUGGCAUAAUGAUUCCGCAUGGUUUCAUUAUUAAAGGAUUCCGGUAAAGGAUGGGGAUGCGUUCCAUUAGGUUGUUGGUGAGGUAACGGCUCACCAAGCCUUCGAUGGAUAGGGGUUCUGAGAGGAAGGUCCCCCACAUUGGAACUGAGACACGGUCCAAACUCCUACGGGAGGCAGCAGUGAGGAAUAUUGGUCAAUGGGCGCUAGCCUGAACCAGCCAAGUAGCGUGAAGGAUGAAGGCUCUAUGGGUCGUAAACUUCUUUUAUAUAAGAAUAAAGUGCAGUAUGUAUACUGUUUUGUAUGUAUUAUAUGAAUAAGGAUCGGCUAACUCCGUGCCAGCAGCCGCGGUAAUACGGAGGAUCCGAGCGUUAUCCGGAUUUAUUGGGUUUAAAGGGAGCGUAGGUGGACUGGUAAGUCAGUUGUGAAAGUUUGCGGCUCAACCGUAAAAUUGCAGUUGAUACUGUCAGUCUUGAGUACAGUAGAGGUGGGCGGAAUUCGUGGUGUAGCGGUGAAAUGCUUAGAUAUCACGAAGAACUCCGAUUGCGAAGGCAGCUCACUGGACUGCAACUGACACUGAUGCUCGAAAGUGUGGGUAUCAAACAGGAUUAGAUACCCUGGUAGUCCACACAGUAAACGAUGAAUACUCGCUGUUUGCGAUAUACAGUAAGCGGCCAAGCGAAAGCAUUAAGUAUUCCACCUGGGGAGUACGCCGGCAACGGUGAAACUCAAAGGAAU